UAUUUUGCAAGUAAAAAGUGCAGAGAAAUGCAAUGACUUUUUACAUAGUCUUGCAGCCCACUUCUUAUUUUAUUUAGUUAUUUGAUAAUGCAUUCUUUAAUCGAUAGCUUUCUCCAGUAAAACUAACAAUAUGCGCAUGGUGAAUCAGCCGAUCUACUAAUGCUGCUGUUAAUCUUGGAUCAAUAAAUACCUUAUUCCACUGACUAAAUUCCAAGUUGCUCGUGAUAAUAAUACUCUUAGUUUCAUACCAGUCACUUAUGAGUUGAAAUAAUAAUUCUGAUCCUGUUUUACUGAAUGGUACAUAUCCCAUUUCAUCUAAUAUGAUCAGCUGAUACUUGUGGCAUUUCUUUUUGAAACGUUCUAUUGAGAGACUUUUCCAUUCUUGUUCCAACUGAUCUACUAGUUCUGCUACCCGCCAGAAUUUUACAUUAAUGCCGUUUUCGAUUGCUUUAACUCCUAAUGCAGUUGCUAAGUGAGUUUUACCUGUUCCAGGUGUACCAACGAAAACGGCGUUUUCGUUUUUAUCAAUAAAGCUUAAAUUCAGUAAUUGUUGCUUAGAAUCUGGUGUCGAAAAAUUGAUUUGUUCACGCCAAAUAUAAUCGUUUAAGGUUUUUCGUUUUGGAAAUUUUGCUUGGUUAUAAAGCCUGGUAAUCUUCUUAUCGUACCUAAUCUCAAUUUCCUUUUUAAGUAGGCCUAAAAGCCAUGCCGAUUUAUCAUCUUCAGGGAAUUGAUUUAACUUUGCUAUAUUAGCCAUAUUUGAUAAUCGCAAUUCUGUACAUGCUUUGGCUAGUUCUUGAUUAUUCAAUUAAGUGACCUACUUUCUGUCUCUUGCUAGUUGAUCGUAACUUUUCAUAUUGACACUGAGCUCUUCCGAAGUUGGUGAAAUCCCGACUAGCUCGUAAAACCGUUCAUUGAUCUCUUUCAAUGGAUGAGUGCUUAAGAGUGUUAUUAGUUCGUCUAUUCGGUCGGUUUGUAACCGCCAGUCUUCUGUUGAAAGAUAGUAAGCAAUUCGUUUGGGAAGGUAUUUCCAGUAUCUAGAAUAGGUCAUUGACCGUGGCUUCCUCUUCCAAGUAAUAAAAACGCUUGACCACUCAAUAGCGCGUUUCUUAGUUAGGUAAGGGCGUCGCCCUUUACUAACAAUUUCGCCAUUUAGAUCAUAAAUUGUAUAACUGGUUGCGGUAAGAACGCAGGUUAAUGAAAGCAUUGUUUUAGCCAUUGGAAUAUGUAUCCUGGUUUUAUCAAUUGUUACUUCGUUAUACCGGUUUGGUUUAACUUCAAAUUGCUUAAAAACUGGAUAAUCUAUAUCAGGC
rnacentral:rRNA from 1 species